rnacentral:sRNA from 1 species
AUCCAAAUCAACAGUAAUGUUCUACAGUUAGUGAGAUGUAGAGAGAGAUAUGGCUAGCUAAUCCAUGAGAGAGGUCUAGAUAGAGAGAGGGAGAGAUGAUCAGUUCUUCAGAAGAGGCUACUACUAGCUAUCUAGCUUCAUGUUUAACUCUUCUUGGUUUGUGUUUUUGUGUGCUUGUUGGAGUUGUUAGGAGGAAGAGAGGGGUGAGAGGUGAGGCUGACAGAAGAGAGUGAGCACACAUGGUGACUUUCUUGCAUGCUGAAUGGACUCAUGCUUGAAGCUAUGUGUGCUCACUUCUCUCUCUGUCAGCCAUUUGAUCUCUCUUUCUCUCUUUCUCCCUCAUGUGUUAUACUGUUCUCUCAUAUCUAUCUUCUUUGAGGUAGUAAUAUACUUGAGCAAAUUAAGCUGCUUAAUUAUUUGUGUAUGAUGAUCAGCUGCUGAUCCGGCCUCAUUUCUUGCAUAUAUGACCACAACCACAUACAUGCUUGUUCAUUUUUUUUCACAAAGAAAGAGAACAGUUUAAUUUAAUUUCUUGGGGUUUUUGGAUCAGUUAAUUUGUCUUGAGAGGGGAAGAGAUCUCUAUGGGUUUUGGAGGUCUGACAGAAGAGAGUGAGCACACACGGUGCUUUCUUAGCAUGCAAGAGCCAUGCUGGGAGCUGUGCGUGCUCACUCUCUAUCUGUCAGCCGUUCACCAUGCCCAAUAUGAUUAAUCUCCUUCUCUCAGUUGACAGUAAUUUCUUUGCCAGAUCUCCUGUUAAAUUUUCUGCCUAGCUAGCUAUUAUGCACAUGCUUAUUAUGAUGAGCCUGCCAAUAUCAUCUCCACGGCAAAACACAAACUAGCUAUGAUUUGAUUCAUUAUAUUUCUUUUCGCUGUUUAAUUAAUUAUAUGCAGGCAUACACUAGCUAGUUUCCAGCUAGUACAAAGACGAGACGAGGUCGUUCUGACGAUUUUCAUAGUCGUCAGAAGAAGGUGUGCAUUGGUUUAAUUUUUGUUCUUGGCUGUCAGACUAGAUCAUCUCUGAAUGAUCAAGAGCCGGAUCAAAUAAUUAUUGUGAGCACCGAAAUCGAUCAUGCGUACUCUCUCUGUGAAGUAUUUCUGAGAAAUAAUAUGAGUGUAGCUAGUAUAUAUACUCUUGAAGGGUGUCUAAUUAAUUGGGGUCUCUAGCUAGCUCCUUCUCUGAAUCUGUCCAUGAAUUGAAUCUACUAUGUAUGUGCUGGUGCUUACUGUUAUUUCAUGUACUACAUAUAAUUGAUAAAUCAAUUUAGGCUUUCAGUUU